AUUGAACGCUGGCGGCAGGCCUAACACAUGCAAGUCGAGCGGAUGAAGGGAGCUUGCUCCUGGAUUCAGCGGCGGACGGGUGAGUAAUGCCUAGGAAUCUGCCUGGUAGUGGGGGAUAACGUCCGGAAACGGGCGCUAAUACCGCAUACGUCCUGAGGGAGAAAGUGGGGGAUCUUCGGACCUCACGCUAUCAGAUGAGCCUAGGUCGGAUUAGCUAGUUGGUGGGGUAAAGGCCUACCAAGGCGACGAUCCGUAACUGGUCUGAGAGGAUGAUCAGUCACACUGGAACUGAGACACGGUCCAGACUCCUACGGGAGGCAGCAGUGGGGAAUAUUGGACCAUGGGCGAAAGCCUGAUCCAGCCAUGCCGCGUGUGUGCAGAAGGUCUUCGGAUUGUAAAGCACUUUAAGUUGGGAGGAAGGGCAGUAAGUUAAUACCUUGCUGUUUUGACGUUACCAACAGAAUAAGCACCGGCUAACUUCGUG
rnacentral:rRNA from 1 species